UAACCUAAAACAUAUACACACAAUACACGCCCAAAAGAAAAUUCUGGAGAGAGGAGAGGCCUGAAGCGCAGCCUUGCCUUCCUCUUUAACAAACACACGCAAUACACAUUACCAUAUAGAAGCAUAUACACACGAUAGAGAAGAGGGGGAAAACAAAACACAUAUACAUGAGAAGGGAGCUGAGCUUCUUGAGGAGAAUACACUACAGAGAGACACACAUAGAGACGCUGGGAGAAAGGGUCUGCGCAGCUGGCGGCUGCUUCUUCACAAAAACACACACCUAUACAUACAAUACACGCACAUAAACACAGAGAAAUUAGAGAGGCGUCUGGGAAAAAUUGAGCGCAGCUGAUAGCUUUUACCAGAGAUCCCACCCUCACGAUCUCUUUUCUUCUUCGAUCAGAACGAGCCCUACUUUGGAUCUCAUUUGCAAAUAUGGUUUACUGCACCAGCUUCGUUUCUUCAUUCAAGUUUGUGAGAUCGUCGUUCGAGUUUAUAUUAGCGGAGUUUCGAGGUUCCGAUUUGAGAUCCUUGUUCGAUCUGAGAUCCUUGUUGAUUCGAACCAAUCUCACAACCUAAAUAUUCAGCAAGAAAGGUUUUUCCUCCAUCUAAAUACUCCAGAUGCAGUAUUAUGUUUGUUCCAGUGAUUUUAUUCAAAUUGAAUGCCCGUUUGUUCUUUUUUUAUUUAGCCUCUUUGAUGUUUUUCCUUGUUUUGAAUAAUUUGUUCAUUUGCACUUUAUUUUUGAGUGCUUAAACUACGAAUUUUGCCGAACUUUUCAGUAGAUUUGAUUUCCUACAUGAAUUUUUGCUCAUGGUUGAUUGGUUCUAAGUUAAAAAAAUGGAGUGAAUUAGCUUUUUCUCUGUCCAUACUUAGUUUCAUGUUAUGUUUAAUAUCAUUAUGAUUUAGCAUGUUAUAAUUUAUGUAAUAUUUUACUGUGAGUUAAUAAAUGAAUUGAUGAAACACUAGAUUUUGUUUGAAUUGGAGUGAAUUAAGUUUGUUUGGUAAGGACUUUCAGUAGGUUUGAAAUUGGCGUGAUUUUGGAUUUAGAUUAGAAUAUUUGUGUCUUAUUAGAUGGGGUUCGCACUUUUCAGUGCAUGAAUUUAGCAAUUUACUUCAGGCCCGUAACAUAAGCGUCAUAAUCAUAGAUAUGAUUCUCGUGAUGUAGUUGUGAUACUAAGCUUUAAAUUAGCUUUAAAUAUAUAUAUCCGUAGUUCUUAGUUGAGUUCUUUUCCUUUAAUAGAAUUUGAGGUGUGUCAUUUAGCGAAUUCUAUGGCCUCGCAAACUUGCAAACGCAUAUUCAUUUUAGGCACGCUAGUUAAAGAAUUCACUUUCCUAAAUACAGGUGCACAUUUAUGUGACACAAAUCCAAAUUUCAACGAAGUUGGAAUGUGUCAAAAUCCACGGGUUCAUUUAUGUGACGUGGCUCGAGACAUGUUUUAACAACGUUGCAAUUUUUUUUUAAAUAAUGAUAAAAGCGGUUUAAGGUUAGAAAGCAUAUAAGUUAAAACAUGUUCUAAAAUCAGAUAAUAUAAGCUAAAUAUAAUAGUUGAGCGACCGUGCUAGAACUACGAAACCUCGGAAUGCCUAACACCUUCUACCGAGUUAACAUUAUUCGUUACUCGAAUUUCUGGUUCGCGGACUUUUAAACAGAGUCAUUAAACACCUUCUCCCGGGUUAACAGAAUUCCUUACCCAGAGUUCUGGUUUCGCAGACUGUUAAACAUAGUCAUUCUUUCAUCGAUUCGGGAUUCUAACCGAUGACUUGGGACACUAUAAAUCUCCCAAGUGGAGACUUUGAAAUUCUCUUAAAUAAUUGAUUCCCGUUUCGAUUGUCCUUAAAUUAGAAAAACUCCCUUAUCUUCGCCCUUCGUCGGGUUGUAGUAGCAAAAAUAAGGUGUGACAGCUCUGGCGACUCUGCUUGGGAAGGUGGACCCAGAAUCUCUGGUUUAGGGUUCAAGAAUUCGAGCUUACAAUAACUGUUAUAUUUGACUUCUUCUGAUUUGCUUACCUGCUCUGUGCUAAAUGCCGCAUGUUUUACCGUUUUGAUAUUAUUUGAACUGUAUAUAUAAACUGUUACAACACCCUUCACUUCUCACCUCCGGGGAUGUGCUUACCGGUUGAGACUCCCUAUUCUGUUAGUGUCUUACCCUAAAAUAAGAAAGAGGCCGAACAAGUGACAAAGCCGAACGAUCUCGCGGGUCCCCGGUACGUAGCCCCCUCCUCGACUCGAGUUUUCCGCUCGGGUACACAGUCUAGAACAAAUACCCACGCUUAAACAUAGAAUAACAAAACCUCAUGCCGGUUCCCUAGCAGGAAUGCUUAUCUGCAUCAUGCAUUUGACUUAGGAGACUCAACACAGGGGUUGGGUCCGUCUAGGACAGGUGUACCCAAAAUAACAAACCAUCCUGAUGCAUCCUAAUGUGAUACAUAUUGCAUUUCUCCAAGGGUAAAAGGGUCAUUUGGGGAGCAUAGAUAGCUGAGGGUAAAUGAAAAAAAAGAGAAAAACAAUGAAAAGAAAAGAGGGUGAAGUUUGAAAAUAAAGCAAGAAGAUUUAGUUAUGUUUUGUUAUAUUUUUAUUAAACAAAAGACACGGGAUAUGUGAAAAAUUUUAAAAAAAAAAGAAUAUUUCACACUUUUUAUUCAAAAAAAAAGAAAAAGAGAAAAUCCAAAAAUAGUUUGCAUAUUUCAUCAUUUGUUUUUUCAAAAAGAGACAAAAGAAAAUGUUUUCUUUAAAAAUUAGAUGUUGUUUUUUAUUUUUUGCCCGUAUCCAAGUAACCCGAAUUACGCGAACCUGAUUCUCGUCUUUCGAGACGUGAUACGUAGGCAACAAACAUAUGGUUUGAUUGUCCUUGUAAUUCUUAGAUUCUUGGCUUUGCGGGGUUAUAGCCAGACUUUGCAGUUCUAGCUACUUUUAGCCAUAUAGGUUAGUUUUAGAAUUCAGAAGUUGCUUGUUGGAACAUGUGUGAAUUGAGUUAUGUCAAUGGACUCUACUAUUGAAAUUCUUCGAGUUCAAGUUGGAAUUCUCUUGUCAAACUUUUUUUAUGCUGGUGAAAGUUCUACUGAGAUCAGUCUUUGUUUGUUGGGGCGUUGUUUUGUGAUUUUAAUUCAAUCAAUGAGUUGUUGGUGGGGCCAUGUCUGUAUGUAAAUCAUGCAUUGUACACCAGUUAUCUUUGUGCUAUGAGUGCGGAGUUUUGAAGCUUGUCUUGUUGAAUUUUACCACUUUUGUGAAGUUUUUGGAGUAAAUUGAUAGCUGAAAUUCUCCUAGUUUGAACUUGUUAUCAUUGGCUUUUAAUAGUUGUUGUUAUUGUUGAGUUUAAUAGAGGGUAUUCAGUUGGACUAAAGUUUGAGCAUGCUUGAAUUGUGAUUUGGUUGAGCAUACAUUAAGCUUACUCUGCCGAAAUUUUAUGUCCGUUGAGAUUUAUGCGCGAGUUUAGCGGUGAUAGUUUGAAAUAUGGUUUUUACUUCUAAAAAGUGUCCGUUGAGAUUUAUGCGCGAGUUUAGGAGCAUGCUUGAAUUGUGAUUUGGUUGAGCAUACAUUAAGCUUACUCUGCCGAAAUUUUAUGUCCGUUGAGAUUUAUGCGCGAGUUUAGUAGAGAUAGUUUGAAAUAUGGUUUUCUUCUAAAAAGUUCUCUUUGUUGAAUUAAGUGCUUUUGUUACAUAACUUUGUGGUUAUUCUGACUCAAUAUUGUUGUGAUUCUAAUGUUUUGUUUCUACAGUUGAGGUCGUCAUUCUGGGCUGAAAAUUUAUGUGCCUAUUGCUGCUAAAUUUAAUGCUCAAUGUGUUGCUGAAGUUUGAAUUUUGAGAAGCAAUUGAAUAGCGAAUCUGUCAGCUUAUUUGAAUUCUAGAAUUUUGCACUUAAAUGAAAGUUGUUGAUGUAAUACGCAUUAUUUGUAUUUUUUACAACUUUUGGUAAAUCUGAAACUGGGUGUGGAGAUUAGAACUUGUUUGAAGAAUUUUGAGUAGUGGAGAUUAGAACUUGUUUGAAGAAUUUUGAACUCAAAUAAGAGUGUUUUAGAUUAUUAUUGAAGGUUGUUACCUUGGAAAUUUUUUACUUUUUGCACUAGUUGUGCAGUGAGUGCAAGUUGAUUUUUCUGCACAUUUGAGUUCAGUUGAUUACAAAUGUUUUGGUUAUGUUAUCAGGGAAUUACAAGCUGAAAAAUAUUGCUUAAAGUUACUUUGUUUGUUGAUGCUAGUUUAGUUUGGUGUUAGUUGG
rnacentral:lncRNA from 1 species